rnacentral:lncRNA from 1 species
AUUAUUUUUUCAAUUAUUUUUAAGACAGGAGGAGACAAAUUCUGACAAGAAUUGAGCUAAUAGAAAGAGAGGGGUUAAAAAUGCAAGAGGAUAUUGGAUGGAGUUGGGAUCCUGAGAAGGCAGGAUCCAGUGGUUAAGUAAAAGGAUUGCAGGAUUGCGUUUAAGCCUGUGGAUGGACACCUCUUUGCAUUAUUAUAGGAAGAAGAAAAAGAGUGAAUGGACGAUGACGAAGUAGAGAAGUGUCUGAGGCUGCUACUUCUAGGAAUAGCAGAAUUCAAAGUUAUCUGUUAUGAGAAUCAAAUGAGUUAAAACAUACAAAGUUUUAGCAUGUAAAGUUAAUACAUAAAGUUUUAUUUAGUUUAUAAUUUAGUGAUUCGUAAAAUUAUUGAGCAAAUUUAACUUAUCACUGUUAUAUGAUGAUCGUGACAUACUUAACUCAUGUAGAAGACCAGGAAUAACCUGUUUUAAUUAUGUUUCAUUCAUUUCAAACACAAGGUUAUGGAUUGGAAACACUCCUGUUCUUCUUUGUUGUUGUUGUUGUUGUUGUUGUUUUUAGAGACGGAGUCUCG